rnacentral:misc_RNA from 1 species
AAGUCGUAACAAGGUUUCCGUACUACGAGACCCUGUGGAGCUGUUUUAUUCUACUGCGUUGCCACGACUAUAAACACAGGGCAUUUACUGCAAGUCCUUCGGGGCGACACUGCACGAUUGACGGGGACACCAUUCUGGCAACCCGCAGCCCUCCAGGGUUCACAGAUCAAGUGGCAGUGGGCUUUCGAGCUUAAGAUAUGACCGGCCCCAACGCGGAAGCCCUGGGAAAUAGCGUCCGUAGGUGAACCUGCGGAAGGAUCAUUAAAGAAUACAAGGCCUCACGGCCCUAUUCUCACCCUUUUGUAUACCAAACUUCGUUGCUUUGGCAGGCCCCUGGCUUCGGCUGGAUUGUGCCUGCCAAAGGACCUAAACUCUUGAAUCUCUGAUGUCUGAGUUACUAUGUAAUAGUUAAAA